rnacentral:rRNA from 1 species
GACGAACGCUGGCGGCGUGCUUAACACAUGCAAGUCGAACGGAAGGGCCUCUUUCGGGGGGUACUCGAGUGGCGAACGGGUGAGUAACACGUGAGUAACCUGCCCUUGACUUUGGGAUAACUUCAGGAAACUGGGGCUAAUACCGGAUAGGAGCUCCUGCUGCAUGGUGGGGGUUGGAAAGUUUCGGCGGUUGGGGAUGGACUCGCGGCUUAUCAGCUUGUUGGUGGGGUAGUGGCUUACCAAGGCUUUGACGGGUAGCCGGCCUGAGAGGGUGACCGGCCACAUUGGGACUGAGAUACGGCCCAGACUCCUACGGGAGGCAGCAGUGGGGAAUAUUGCACAAUGGGUGGAAGCCUGAUGCAGCAACGCCGUGUGCGGGAUGACGGCCUUCGGGUUGUAAACCGUUUUCGCUCAUGACGAAGCUUUGUGUGACGGUAGUGGGUAAAGAAGCACCGGCUAACUACGUG